rnacentral:rRNA from 1 species
CCCUGCAGUUCUCGCUUGGUUUCCCACUGAAGCUAAGCAGGGUUGAGCCUGGGCAGUACCUGGAUGGGAGACCUUCUGGGGAAAAUAAGGUUGCUGCUGGAA